UACGUAUGGAGCAAGCGUUAUCCGGAUUUACUGGGUGUAAAGGGAGCGUAGGCGGUCUAUUAAGUCUGAUGUGAAAACCUUGGGCUCAACUCAAGGCCUGCAUUGGAAACUGGUGGACUGGAGUGUCGGAGGGGCAAGUGGAAUUCCUAGUGUAGCGGUGAAAUGCGUAGAUAUUAGGAGGAACACCAGUGGCGAAGGCGGCUUGCUGGACGAUAACUGACGCUGAGGCUCGAAAGCGUGGGGAG
rnacentral:rRNA from 1 species